UGCAAGUCGAACGGUAACGCGGACUUCGGUCUGGCGACGAGUGGCGAACGGGUGAGUAAUGCAUCGGAACGUAUCCAUUUGUGGGGGAUAGCCCGGCGAAAGCCGGAUUAAUACCGCAUAAUCUCUGAGGAGGAAGUGGGGGACCUUCGGGCCUUACGCUGAUGGAGCGGCUGAUGUCGGAUUAGCUAGUUGGUAGGGUAAAGGCCUACCAAGGCGACGAUCCGUAGCUGGUCUGAGAGGACGACCAGCCACACUGGAACUGAGACACGGUCCAGACUCC
rnacentral:rRNA from 2 species